rnacentral:ncRNA from 1 species
GUAUUUUACACCGAGCUGUCUUAGCUAACACUUCAAUUUAUAUCGAAGUCAUGCCAUUACCAGCCGUAGCAACUGCUUUAAAAGCAGUACGCUGCCAGGGUUAACAAGGAAACGCGUUAGCCUCCCGACAUUUGGAAAGGUGAGAUGUUAAC